rnacentral:rRNA from 1 species
GUGCCAGCAGCCGCGGUAAUACGUAGGGGGCGAGCGUUGUUCGGAUUUACUGGGCGUAAAGAGCGCGUAGGCGGUUCGAUCAGUCGGAGGUGAAAUCCCUCGGCUCAACCGAGGACCCGCGUCCGAUACUGUCGAACUUGAGUGCAGGAGAGGAGAGCGGAAUUCCCAGUGUAGCGGUGAAAUGCGUAGAUAUUGGGAGGAACACCGGUGGCGAAGGCGGCUCUCUGGACUGCCACUGACGCUGAGGCGCGAAAGCUAGGGGAGCAAACGGGAUUAGAUACCCCGGUAGUCCUAGCCGUAAACGAUGGGCACUAGGUGUGGGAGGUAUCGACCCCUUCCGUGCCGCAGCUAACGCACUAAGUGCCCCGCCUGGGGAGUACGGCCGCAAGGUGAAACUUAAAUGAAUUGGCGG